rnacentral:misc_RNA from 1 species
CGGGCUGGGGAUCCUGUGCGCGGAUGCGUGUGAAGCGUCGGGGCUCGAGAUACCGAGGCUUUCGGAUGAGACCGUUGAACGACUGCGCGGCAUGCUUCCGGCCGAAGCAAGCGUUGGGAACCCGGUGGACAUGAUCGCCUCUGCCUCGGCGGAGCAGUACGCCGAGGCGCUCCGCAUACUUACCGACGAUCCCGAGGUUGACUCCAUCGUCGUCAUCUUCAUCCCCCCGCU